rnacentral:rRNA from 1 species
AUUCCAGCUCCAAUAGCGUAUAUUAAUGUUGUUGCAGUUAAAAAGCUCGUAGUUGGAUUUCUGGUCGGGACGUCUGGCCGGCUCCGCAAGGGGUCGUUGCAUUGACUGUACUCGUCCAUCCUCAGGUUGACUAGCUCUGGUAUUUAUUUAUCGGUGUUAGAACGCCUGUCGUUUACUGUGAACAAAUUAGAGUGUUCAAAGCAAGGUGUACUUGAAUACAUUAGCAUGGAAUAAUAAGAUAGGACUUUGGUGGUUCUUUUUAGAUAUUUUGUUGGUUUGCACGCCAAAGUAAUGAUUAAGAGGAACAGUUGGGGGCAUUCGUAUUUCAUUGUCAGAGGUGAAAUUCUUGGAUUUAUGAAAGACGAACUUCUGCGAAAGCAUUUGCCAAGGAUGUUUUCAUC